AAGUCGUAACAAGGUUUCCGUAGGUGAACCUGCGGAAGGAUCAUUGAGAGAGUGGGUGGGGAGAGAUGUUGGAAUGUGGGGUGAGAUAUCACGUGACAAAAAGAUUUUAUUCAAAAAUGACUAGCCACCUGGGAUCUCUGGGCUCUU
rnacentral:misc_RNA from 1 species